rnacentral:rRNA from 1 species
UCGGACUGGAGUCUGCAACCCGACUCCACGAAGUUGGAUUCGCUAGUAAUCGCGCAUCAGCCAUGGCGCGGUGAAUACGUUCCCGGGCCUUGUACACACCGCCCGUCAAGCCAUGGGAGCCGGGGGCGCCUGAAGUCCGGGACCGCGAGGACCGGCCUAGGGCGAAACUGGUAACUGGGGCUAAGUCGUAACAAGGUACC